UACGUAGGGGGCUAGCGUUGUCCGGAAUCAUUGGGCGUAAAGAGCGUGUAGGCGGUCCGGUAAGUCCGCUGUGAAAGUCGGGGGCUCAACCCUCGAAUGCCGGUGGAUACUGUCGGGCUAGAGUGCGGAAGAGGCGAGUGGAAUUCCUGGUGUAGCGGUGAAAUGCGCAGAUAUCAGGAGGAACACCAAUUGCGAAGGCAGCUCGCUGGGACGCUACUGACGCUGGAGACGCGAAAGCGUGGGGAGCAAACAGG
rnacentral:rRNA from 1 species